rnacentral:rRNA from 1 species
CCUACGGGAGGCAGCAGUGAGGAAUAUUGGUCAAUGGCCGGGAGGCUGAACCAGCCAAGUCGCGUGAGGGAAGACGGCCCUACGGGUUGUAAACCUCUUUUGUCAGGGAGCAAGGUGCAGGUCGGGACCUGCUGUGAGAGUACCUGAAGAAAAAGCAUCGGCUAACUCCGUGCCAGCAGCCGCGGUAAUACGGAUGAUGCGAGCGUUAUCCGGAUUUAUUGGGUUUAAAGGGUGCGCAGGCGGAGGCACAAGCCAGCGGUAAAAUCGCGGGGCGAAACCCAGCUCCGCCGUUGAACCUGUGGCCCUUGAGUGCGCGAAGGGUAGGCGGAAUGCGUGGUGUAGCGGUGAAAUGCAUAGAUAUCACGCAGAACUCCGAUCGCGAAGGCAGCCUACCGGCGCGCAACUGACGCUCAUGCACGAAAGCGUGGGUAUCGAACAGGAUUAGAUACCCUUGUAGUC